ACAUCGAAAUCAAGAGGUAGGCCACGAAAUAUUUCUAGAGCUUUCUGCCAGAUUUGUCAGUAAAAUCUAGAGAUCAAGUUUAUUGGUAACUGACUGUUGGUCAGCACUAACAUUUUAUUUUUGAACGUAGGACUCACGCAAUCAGAUAAUCGAUUAUCUCGAUAAAUCGAAUAUCUUGCGUAAGCUAAUCGCGUCCGAUUAGCGGACACGAACAAAAUAAUCGUAUAGCAAUUAAUCGAUUAGUUGAAAAAAUCGGACAUCACUAUUCCCGAUGUAAUAUAUACUUCUAUUGAUACAGAAGAAGAUAACAAUCAAUAGAAUGAAAGAAACGUAGAGCAUCAACAUAAUUUGGCUACUGCGACAUUUGUGAACACUGAUCCUUCGAAAGGAAGUCCUAGCGUGUCUCAAGAUCAUGCCCUUGAUCAAGGUUUUGAUAUUGCUCUUUGCAUUCAAAAUAAAAGACCGGCGCUGUUCAGCUCAACGAUAGAUUCGUCGGCAAAUGCUUGCAAAUUAAUUAACGUAUGUAAAUGUUACCGACAAUCAGUUUGUGAAACACAUUACAUUACGCCACCAUUCAAAAAGUGUUCGACAGAACAUCUCAAUACUUCAGAUGCCAUUGUUACGGACCCACAAUAUGUUUUCUACAUUGAUGUAGGAACACAAACUGACGCUCACCUGGAGGGAGAUUUCAAUCGAAUGAGAAAAGCAUUGGAUCAAGCGCGGAAUCAUUCUCAACAACAAGAAAAUAUACAUCAACAGCAAAAGAAAAACCUCGCCAUUGCUCGAGAAGAAACACAGUUUGCAAUUUCAUCACUUGAAAAAGGUGAUAAGAAAUGCAUUAUUAAUAUUUCACACUUUCACAGGACUGAGUAGUGGGCUGGUACUAAAAAAAUUAUAUGGUAAGUUGAAAAACGAUAUAUUUAUUGGUGAAGGGAUUGAUAGAGAAAGAAUAUUUAUUCUUACUCUGCGAAAGCUUCGUCUCAAUGAACCUUUUUCAACGUUGGGCUAUAUUUACAAUUUAAGUCCUACAACAAUAUCGACAUACUUCUACGAAACGAUUCAGAGCAUAUUUCCUCUCAUGAAAGGUUUGGUGAAGUUCCCGGAAAGAUCUGUUCUUCGCAAACAUAUGCCACUUUCCUUUUUGAAAAAGUAUGGAACAUCAGUUACUAUAAUAAUUGAUUGUUUCGAAAUUAAUAUAGAGUCGCCAAGUUCCCAGGAAAUGGUUGCCAAUGCAAACAUUUACUCUAGUUAUAAAAAUCAUAAUACAAUGAAAGUACUUGUUGGAAUCAGUGCCGCCGGAACCGUAAUAUUUAUGUCUGAAGCUUUUGGAGGUCGUAUAUCUGAUAAAGAAAUCUUAAAACAAUCGGGAUUUUUAGAUCAGCUCCAAGAAGGAGAUUUUAUAUUAGCGGAUAGAGGAUUUCUUAUUGAUGAAGUAGUAAUGAAUGUGAAAGCUUCUGUGUCCCUGUGUUGCCUCCAAAGAGUUAUCUGCACUAAGAACUCAUGUUGAGAGAUUGAUUGGAGUCCUGCGGCAAAAAUUUUUAAUUUUAACUGAAACGAUUCCAAUGUCGCAGUUACACCGAUGGAACGAUGACUCACCAGCUAUCGAUCAAAUUCUGCAAAUAACGGCUGCUAUGACAAACCUUUGUCCUUCAGUUGUACUC